CAUCGAAGGGAUCACGGUUAUGCUCCAAGGUCUUGCGUCGCUACUCAGUAUACGAAGGGAAAAGACUCAAGCAUGCAUGGGUGGGUCCCUUGCUCAUGUAGUCAUGUUCAUGGAUCUUGAUACGUGGAUAGGUUUACUUAUUUGUUGGAUUUCUCUUCAUGGAUUCAUGGAUCUCCUCCCAUACCUUUUGUUAGCUCAAACUCAAUUCAUGGGUGGAAACACACUCAUGAUUGUGGCAUGUUAUUGACGGUGGUGAUGGCGAUGAUGGGUGCAAGAGAGGCGGCGGAGCUCCAACAAGCGAGCUAUAGUGAGCGAGCCGAGGACCAGGUGCAAGAGAGGUGGCGGAGCCCCAACACAUGUCGGUUGUCUACGGCCGAGCUACAGCGAGCGAGCUGAGGGCCAGGUGCAAGAGAGGCGGCGGAGCUCCACGAUCAUCGUGCUCGAGCAAGGAGGUGAGGCAGCCGGUCGUGGGAGGAGCGAGGACA